UACAGAGGUCUCAAGCGUUGUUCGGAUUCAUUGGGCGUAAAGGGUGCGUAGGUGGCGCGCUAAGUCAGGUGUGAAAUUUCGGAGCUUAACUCCGAAACUGCAUUUGAUACUGGUGUGCUUGAGGACUGGAGAGGAGACUGGAAUUUACGGUGUAGCAGUGAAAUGCGUAGAGAUCGUAAGGAAGACCAGUGGCGAAGGCGGGUCUCUGGACAGUUCCUGACGCUGAGGCACGAAGGUCAGGGGAGCAAACGGG
rnacentral:rRNA from 1 species